UGAACGCUAGCGGCAGGCUUAACACAUGCAAGUCGAGGGGUAACAGGAUCUUCGGAUCGCUGACGACCGGCGCACGGGUGCGUAACGCGUAUGCAACCUACCUUUAACUGGAGGAUAGCCCCGAGAAAUCGGGAUUAAUACUCCAUAGUAUUCCCAAGUGGCAUCACUCAGGAAUUAAAGCUCCGGCGGUUAAAGAUGGGCAUGCGUGACAUUAGUUUGUUGGUGAGGUAACGGCUCACCAAGACUACGAUGUCUAGGGGUUCUGAGAGGAUGAUCCCCCACACUGGUACUGAGACACGGACCAGACUCCUACGGGAGGCAGCAGUGAGGAAUAUUGGUCAAUGGACGAAAGUCUGAACCAGCCAUGCCGCGUGCAGGAUGACGGCCCUAUGGGUUGUAAACUGCUUUUAUUAAGGAAUAAACCCCCGAACGUGUUCGGGGCUGAACGUACUUAAAGAAUAAGCAUCGGCUAACUCC
rnacentral:rRNA from 1 species